GUGAGUGAUGAAGGCCCUAGGGUUGUAAAGCUCUUUCACCGGUGAAGAUAAUGACGGUAACCGGAGAAGAAGCCCCCCCGGCUAACUUCGUGCCAGCAGCCGCGGUAAUACGAAGGGGGC
rnacentral:ncRNA from 1 species